rnacentral:rRNA from 1 species
CUACACAUGCAAGUCGAGCGGCAGCGGGAAAGUAGCUUGCUACUUUUGCCGGCGAGCGGCGGACGGGUGAGUAAUGCCUGGGAAAUUGCCCAGUCGAGGGGGAUAACAGUUGGAAACGACUGCUAAUACCGCAUACGCCCUACGGGGGAAAGCAGGGGACCUUCGGGCCUUGCGCGAUUGGAUAUGCCCAGGUGGGAUUAGCUAGUUGGUGAGGUAAUGGCUCACCAAGGCGACGAUCCCUAGCUGGUCUGAGAGGAUGAUCAGCCACACUGGAACUGAGACACGGUCCAGACUCCUACGGGAGGCAGCAGUGGGGAAUAUUGCACAAUGGGGGAAACCCUGAUGCAGCCAUGCCGCGUGUGUGAAGAAGGCCUUCGGGUUGUAAAGCACUUUCAGCGAGGAGGAAAGGUUGAUGCCUAAUACGUAUC